GCAAAAUUCGUUACAUUUCCGUUGCGGUCUUUGGUGAAGACACCCGCUGCAGCGGAUUGUGGUCUUGAUUUCGUCCGAAGCCGAAAACGUUUUUGGCACCACUCUGUGAUUGUCUCAUUUUUUUGUUCUCAACCGCUAGUCAUUAAAUUAUUGAUUAAACUUAAGUAAUACACAUUCAAUCGAAGAACUACAGUUGUGUACACACACGCUGUUGGAGUUCCCUAAAAUAUCCAUCCAUCUUAUGAAGGAAACAAGGAGUGCAACCACAGUGGGUUCCAGAUUGGAGAUUAUACAUCUCCAAUCACAUAAGUUAAUCUCCUUCAAAUAAGUUAAGUAGUACGUGACGGGUUAAGUUAUUAAUUACUUUGUCAAAUUAUUGUAUGAUAAGACAAUUUAGUUAAUAAAACUAUAUUUUAACUGUA